rnacentral:rRNA from 1 species
UGGGGAAUAUUGGACAAUGGGCGAAAGCCUGAUCCAGCCAUGCCGCGUGAGUGACGAAGGCCUUAGGGUUGUAAAACUCUUUCGUCGGGGACGAUAAUGACGGUACCCGAAGAAGAAGCUCCGGCUAACUUCGUGCCAGCAGCCGCGGUAAUACGAAGGGAGCUAGCGUUGUUCGGAAUCACUGGGCGUAAAGCGCACGUAGGCGGAUAGUUAAGUCAGGGGUGAAAUCCUGGGGCUCGAACCCCAGAACUGCCUUUGAUACUGGCUGUCUCGAGGUCGAGAGAGGUUGGUGGAAUUCCUAGUGUAGAGGUGAAAUUCGUAGAUAUUAGGAAGAACACCAGUGGCGAAGGCGGCCAACUGGCUCGAUACUGACGCUGAGGUGCGAAAGCGUGGGGAGCAAACAGGAUUAGAUACCCCAGUAGUCCCUGAGCGGGCUGGCAAGGCGCAU